CUGCCAUAUCACGUUGGAACACCAAUUCCCAUGCAAUCACUGAAGUUAAGCAACAUUGAGUCUGGCCAGUACCUAGAUGGGUAACCACUUGAGAAUACCAGGUGCUGUAA